rnacentral:rRNA from 1 species
AACAAACGCUGGCGGCGUGCCUAACACAUGCAAGUCGUACGAGAAAGGGUCCUUCGGGGCCUGAGUAAAGUGGCGCACGGGUGAGUAACGCGUGGAUAAUCUGCCCUUCAGUUGGGAAUAACUCAUCGAAAGGUGGGCUAAUACCGAAUAAUGCUGUGAGACCUCGGUUGAUCAGCCAAAGAGAGCCUCUGCUUGCAAGCCCUCGCUGAAGGAUGAGUCCGCGUACCAUUAGCUAGUUGGGAGGGUAAUGGCCUACCAAGGCGACGAUGGUGAGCUGGUCUGAGAGGAUGAUCAGCCACACUGGAACUGAGACACGGUACAGACUCCUACGGGAGGCAGCAGUGAGGAAUCUUGCGCAAUGGGGGCAACCCUGACGCAGCAACGCCGCGUGAGUGAGGAAGGUCUUCGGAUCGUAAAGCUCUGUCGGAUGGAAAGAACCGCAUAGGGGUAAACAGCCCCUGUGUCUGACGGUACCAUCAAAGGAAGCACCGGCUAACUCCGUGCCAGCCGCCGCGGUAACAC